AUUGAACGCUGGCGGCAGGCCUAACACAUGCAAGUCGAACGAGUGGCGGACGGGUGAGUAAUGUCUGGGAAACUGCCCGAUGGAGGGGGAUAACUACUGGAAACGGUAGCUAAUACCGCAUACCAUCGGAUGUGCCCAGAUGGGAUUAGCUAGUAGGUGGGGUAACGGCUCACCUAGGCGACGAUCCCUAGCUGGUCUGAGAGGAUGACCAGCCAAACGGGAAUGGAGCCACGGUCCAGACUCCGAGGGGGGGCAGCGGGGGGGAAUAUUGCACAAGGGGCGAAAGCCUGAUGCAGCCAGGCCGGGUGUAUGAAGAGGGCCUUCGGGUUGUAAAGUACUUUAAGGGGGAGGCGUUACUCGCAGAAGAAGCACCGGCUAACUCCGUGCCAGCAGCCGCGGUAAUAC
rnacentral:rRNA from 1 species